rnacentral:rRNA from 1 species
AAAGGAAUAGACGGGCACCCGCACAAGCGGUGGAGCAUGCUGUUUAAUUCGAAGAUACGCGAAGAACCUUACCAGGGCUUGACAUCCUACUGAUCGCUCUAGAGAUAGGGCCUUCCCUUCGGGGACAGUGGUGACAGGUGGUGCAUGGUUGUCGUCAGCUCGUGUCGUGAGAUGUUUGGUUAAGUCCAAUAACGAGCGCAACCCUUGUUCUUAGUUGCUAACAUUAAGUUGAGAACCCUAAGAAUACUGUCGGUGAUAAACCGAAGGAAGGUGGGGAUGACGUCAAAUCAUCAUGCCCCUUAUGUCCUGGGCUACAGGCGUGCUACAAUGGCUGAUAUAACGAGAUGCAAUACUGUGAAGUGGAGCUAAUCUUUAAAGUCAGUCUCAGUUCGGAUUGGAGUCUGCAACUCGACUCCAUGAAGUCGGAAUCGCUAGUAAUCCCGAAUCAGAAUGUCGGGGUGAAUACGUUCUCGGGUGUUGUACACACCGCCCGU